rnacentral:SRP_RNA from 1 species
GCUGGGUGUAGUGGCUCACGCCUGUAAUCCCAGCACUUUGGGAGGCAGAGGCGGGUGGAUCACCUGAGGUCAGGAGUUUGAGACCAGCCUGGCCAACAUGGUGAAACCCCGUCUCUA